rnacentral:rRNA from 1 species
UACAGAGGGGGCAAGCGUUGUUCGGAAUUACUGGGCGUAAAGGGCGCGUAGGCGGCCUGUUAAGUCGAACGUGAAAUCCCCGGGCUCAACCCGGGAACUGCGUCCGAUACUGGCAGGCUUGAAUCCGGGAGAGGGAUGCGGAAUUCCAGGUGUAGCGGUGAAAUGCGUAGAUAUCUGGAGGAACACCGGUGGCGAAGGCGGCACUCUGGGCUGGAACUGACGCUGAGGAGCGAAAGCGUGGGUAGCAAACAGG